rnacentral:rRNA from 1 species
AACGAACGCUGGCGGCAUGCCUAACACAUGCAAGUCGAACGAGACCUUCGGGUCUAGUGGCGCCCGGGUGCGUAACGCGUGGGAACCUGCCCUUAGGUUCGGCAUAACUCCCCGAAAGGGGUGCUAAUACCGGAUAAUGUCUUCGGACCAAAGAUUUAUCGCCUUUGAAUGGGCCCUCGUUGGAUUAGCUAGUCGGUAGGGUAAAAGCCUACCACGGCGACGAUCCAUAGCUGGUCUGAGAGGAUGAUCAGCCACACUGGGACUGAGACACGGCCCAGACUCCUACGGGAGGCAGCAGUGGGGAAUAUUGGACAAUGGGCGAAAGCCUGAUCCAGCAAGGCCGCGUGAGUGAUGAAGGCCUUAGGGUUGUAAAGCUCUUUUACCCGGGAUGAUAAUGACAGUACCGGGAGAAUAAGCUCCGGCUAACUCCGUG